rnacentral:sRNA from 1 species
AAAUGUCACGACGUGAUGGAGUGUCUGAC